AAAGAGUACAGGCUAACCAACAGAAACUUCUAUUAGACACCUUAACAAAAUGUUCCAGCAAAACAGGCCAUCUUAUUUUAAAAUAAGGCAUUCAGAACAU